GUGUUCACUUUGCAACACAUAUACUGAAAGAAUAUUAGCAUUGCCCCCAUGUAAGGAUGACAUGAAAAUUCAUGAAACAUUUGAUAUUUUU
ensembl:snRNA U6 U6 spliceosomal RNA